GUCUACGGCCAUACCACCCUGAACGCACCCAGUCUUGUCAACUAUGCAGGGUCAGGCCUCGUUAGUACUUGGAUGGGAGACUGCCUGGGAAUAGCAGGUGCUGUAGGCU
rnacentral:rRNA from 1 species